UUUAUUUGGAGGCAUACUUAAAUAAUUUAAAGCUUUGGUGGAUACGGAUUGGCUCGCGUGACAUUAGCUAGAUGGUAAGGUAACGGCUUACCAUGGCUACGAUGUCUAGGGGUUCUGAGAGGAAGAUCCCCCCACACUGGAACUGAGACACGGUCCAGACUCCUACGGGAGGCAGCAGUGAGGAAUAUUGGACAAUGGAUGGAAAUCUGAUCCAGCCAUGCCGCGUGCAGGAAGACGGCCCUAUGGGUUGUAAACUGCUUUUGUGUGGGAGCAAUAAGGUCUAUGCGUAGACUGAUGAGAGUACCAUACGAAUAAGCAUCGGCUAACUCCGUG
rnacentral:rRNA from 1 species